GGGCCCGCACAAGCGGUGGAGCAUGUGGUUUAAUUCGAUGAUACGCGAGGAACCUUACCAGGGCUUAAAUGUAGGAUGCAUUAGCUAGAGAUAGCUAUUUCUUCGGACUUCUUACAAGGUGCUGCAUGGUUGUCGUCAGCUCGUGCCGUGAGGUGUCAGGUUAAGUCCUAUAACGAGCGCAACCCCUAUUUUUAGUUGCUAACAGGUUAAGCUGAGGACUCUAGAGAGACUGCCGGUGCAAACCGUGAGGAAGGUGGGGAUGACGUCAAAUCAUCACGGCCCUUACGUCCUGGGCUACACACGUGCUACAAUGGUAUGGACAGCGAGCAGCCACCUGGCGACAGGGAGCGAAUCUACAAACCAUAUCACAGUUCGGAUCGGAGUCUGCAACUCGACUCCGUG
rnacentral:rRNA from 1 species